rnacentral:rRNA from 1 species
CGGGGGGGGCAAGCGUUGUUCGGAAUUACUGGGCGUAAAGGGCUCGUAGGCGGCCAACUAAGUCGGAUGUGAAAUCCCCAGGCUCAACCUGGGAACUGCAUCCGAUACUGGAUGGCUUGAAUUCGGGAGAGGGAUGCAGAAUUCCAGGUGUAGCGGUGAAAUGCGUAGAUAUCUGGAGGAAUACCGGUGGCGAAGGCGGCAUCCUGGACCGACAUUGACGCUGAGGAGCGAAAGCUAGGGGAGCAAACGGGAUUAGAUACCCCGGUAGUCCUAGCCCUAAACGAUGAAUGCUUGGUGUAACGGGUAUCGAUCCCUGUUGUGCCGAAGCUAACGCAUUAAGCAUUCCGCCUGGGGAGUACGGGUCGCAAGGCUG